ensembl:lincRNA uncharacterized LOC102007605
UUUCAACGCUGCAGAAUUCUUUUUCAGAACUUUGAUAUCUUCCUACAAUUCUUCUUGAGAUUUACUCUACUAAUCAAAACCCAUCACCACGAACCUCUAAGUAUUUCUCCACCUCAGUUUCUGUUGAAACUGCUGUAAUACAAUGUCCUGGAUUCCUAGGAGCCCAACUGUUUAAGUGAAUUAUCUUUGAGACAGCACCCUCGGUGUUUCUGCACCUUCUCCACUUUCCAAUUAGUAUGCUGGGAGAGGAUGAUGUCCCAAAAUUUCAGCAAAGAGAGCAGAGUCUUUAACAUCUGUCCUGAUCAUUAGGCAGCUGCAUGUGUAUUAAGAAGAGAGUAAGGGGACCAUGAUGGAGCUGGAAGGGACAGAAAAACAGGCUGUCCGCGAGCCAAAGCUGUUGCUAGAGCCUCCCCCCAAAUAGUGGGAGAGUUCCCAAACCUUUGUGGCAAGUGAGUAACAGUCCAAAAAGGGUGCACGGAUCGGGAACCGCAGAAUGUGCAGUGAUGGCCACAUUGCUGAGAGCACGGAGAUCUUGCCCAAGGGGGAAGUCACCUACACAUGAGCUCAGCGGACAGCGACAUCCUGCCCGGCUCGAUGGCCCAGGCCAUCACUGCAGCGCAUCGGUCUUCCUCUGUCCUCUGCACAUGACUCAUUUCACUCCCGCUGCUGUCUGA